AUUUGACGUUAGCGACAGAAGAAGCACCGGCUAACUCCGUGCCAGCAGCCGCGGUAAUACGGAGGGUGCGAGCGUUAAUCGGAAUUACUGGGCGUAAAGCGCAUGCAGGUGGUUAGUUAAGUCAGAUGUGAAAGCCCGGGGCUCAACCUCGGAACUGCAUUUGAAACUGGCUGACUAGAGUACUGUAGAGGGGGGUAGAAUUUCAGGUGUAGCGGUGAAAUGCGUAGAGAUCUGAAGGAAUACCGGUGGCGAAGGCGGCCCCCUGGACAGAUACUGACACUCAGAUGCGAAAGCGUGGGGAGCAAACAGGAUUAGAUACCCUGGUAGUCCACGCCGUAAACGAUGUCUACUUGGAGGUUGUGGCCUUGAGCCGUGGCUUUCGGAGCUAACGCGUUAAGUAGACCGCCUGGGGAGUACGGUCGCAAGAUUAAAACUCAAAUGAAUUGACGGGGGCCCGCACAAGCGGUGGAGCAUGUGGUUUAAUUCGAUGCAACGCGAAGAACCUUACCUACUCUUGACAUCCAGAGAACUUAGCAGAGAUGCUUUGGUGCCUUCGGGAACUCUGAGACAGGUGCUGCAUGGCUGUCGUCAGCUCGUGUUGUGAAAUGUUGGGUUAAGUCCCGCAACGAGCGCAACCCUUAUCCUUGUUUGCCAGCGAGUAAUGUCGGGAACUCCAGGGAGACUGCCGGUGAUAAACCGGAGGAAGGUGGGGACGACGUCAAGUCAUCAUGGCCCUUACGAGUAGGGCUACACACGUGCUACAAUGGCGCAUACAGAGGGCUGCCAACUUGCGAAAGUGAGCGAAUCCCAAAAAGUGCGUCGUAGUCCGGAUUGGAGUCUGCAACUCGACUCCAUGAAGUCGGAAUCGCUAGUAAUCGUGGAUCAGAAUGCCACGGUGAAUACGUUCCCGGGCCUUGUACACACCGCCCGUCACACCAUGGGAGUGGGCUGCAAAAGAAGUGGGUAGUUUAACCUUCGGGAGGACGCUCACCACUUUGUGGUUCAUGACUGGGGUGAAGUCGUAACAAGGUAGCCCUAGGGGAACCUGGGGCUGGAUCACCUCCUUAU
rnacentral:rRNA from 1 species